rnacentral:rRNA from 1 species
AUUGAACGCUGGCGGCAUGCCUUACACAUGCAAGUCGAACGGCAGCGCGGGGGCAACCCUGGUGGCGAGUGGCGAACGGGUGAGUAAUACAUCGGAACGUGUCCUUUUGUGGGGGAUAACCAGUCAAAAGACUGGCUAAUACCGCAUGAGAUCUAACGAUGAAAGCGAGGGACCGCAAGGCCUCGCGCGAUUGGAGCGGACGAUGUCGGAUUAGCUAGUUGGCGGGGUAAAAGCCCACCAAGGCGACGAUCCGUAGCUGGUUUGAGGAGAACGACCAGCCACACUGGGACUGAGACACGGCCCAGACUCCUACGGGAGGCAGCAGUGGGGAAUUUUGGACAAUGGGCGCAAGCCUGAUCCAGCCAUGCCGCGUGUGUGAAGAAGGCCUUCGGGUUGUAAAGCACUUUCGGCCGGAACGAAAUCGCGCGGGUUAAUAGUCCGCGUGGAUGACGGUACCGGAAGAAGAAGCACCGGCUAACUACGUGCCAGCAGCCGCAGUAA